UACAGAGGGUGCGAGCGUUGUUCGGAAUUAUUGGGCGUAAAGGGCGCGUAGGCGGCGCCACAAGUCACUUGUGAAAACUCUGGGCUCAACCCAGAGCCUGCAGGCGAAACUGUGGUGCUGGAGUAUGGGAGAGGUGCGUGGAAUUCCCGGUGUAGCGGUGAAAUGCGUAGAUAUGCGGAGGAACACCGAUGGCGAAGGCAAUCCCCUGGACCUGUACUGACGCUCAUGCACGAAAGGCGUGGG
rnacentral:rRNA from 1 species